CCGGAGACGAGAAGUCUAAGGCGCUCGGGAGAACACUGGUUAAGGAACUCUGCAAAAUGACCCCGUAAGUUCGCGACAAGGGGUGCCCCUGAUGGUUUACGCUUUUGGGGGCCACAGUAAAUCGGCUUCUGCGACUGUUUAUCAAAAACACAGGACUCUGCUAACUCGCAAGAGGAUGUAUAGAGUCUGACGCCUGCCCGGUGCCGGUAGGUUAAGGAAGAGAGUCAGCUCGCAAGAGCGAAGCUCGCAACCGAAGCCCCGGUAAACGGCGGCCGUAACUAUGACGGUCCUAAGGUAGCGAAGUUCCUUGUCGGGCAAGUUCCGACCUGCAUGAAUGGCGUAACGACAGAAGCACUGUCUCGACCAGUGACCCGGUAAAAUUGUAGUCGUGGUGAAGAUGCCACGUUCCCGCAGCAAGACGGAAAGACCCCGUGAACCUUUACUGCAGGCUGAUAUUGGGCUGUGGUGAAUCCUGUGUAGGAUAGGUGGGAGGCGUUGAAGCCGGGACGCUAGUUCCGGUCGAGCCAACCUUGAAAUACCACCCUGGGUAGACUUUAGUUCUAACUCCGAUUCCCGUGAUCCGGGCGGGGGACAAUGUCAGUUGGGCAGUUUGACUGGGGCGGUCUCCUCCCAAAAUGUAACGGAGGAGUCCCAAGGUCCCCUCAACCUGGUUGGCAAUCAGGUGUCGAGCGCAAAGGUAGAAGGGUGCUUGACUGCGAGACCGAUAGGUCGAGCAGAUGCGAAAGCAGGGCUUAGUGAUCCGGUGGUCCCGUAUGGAAGGGCCAUCGCUCAUCAGACAAAAGGUACUCCGGGGAUAACAGGCUUAUCGCGCCCGAGCGUCCAUAGCGGCGGCGCGGUUUGGCACCUCGAUGUCGGCUCAUCACAUCCUGGGGGUGGAGAAGCUCCCAAGGGUUCGGCUGUUCGCCGAUGAAAGUGGUACGUGAGCUGGGUUCAGACCGUCGUGAGACAGGUCGGUCCCUAUCUGCUGUGGGCGCACGAGACCUGAGGAGGUUCUUCUUUAGUACGAGAGGAUUUAGAAGGACGUACCUCUGGUGUUCCAGUUGUCGCGCUCGGCACGGCUGGAUAGCUAUGUACGGAAAGGAUAAACGCUGAAAGCAUCUAAGCGUGAAGCCCUCUCCAAGAUGAGGUCUCGUAAGGGCGUAAGCUCGAAAGCCCCCUGGAAGACGACCAGGUCGAUAGGCCGGAUGUGUACGCGCAGCAAUGCGCUUAGCUAACCGGUACUAACGGGCGAAUGCUUGGCCAC
rnacentral:rRNA from 1 species